GCAGUUGAGAUAGAAAGUAAGAUUCUGGCCCAGGUGCGAUGGUCAGAACCGACGGACCGUCGGGCCCUCGAUGGACCGUCGCACCCCACCAUCGCACAUCCUGAUAAGUAAUUUUAAGUUGUUUUAAAAAGGGAUUUUUGGUUUUUUCCCAGCAUUUUAACAGCCAUUUAUAUCCUAAAUGAAGCAGGUAACUUCAUGAUCUCCCAAAACAUCCAAAGGCUAGGGUUUUUUCCUCAAGAACAAACCCAAAAUCUUUCUCCAAGAAAUUGAAGAGUUCACCAUAGAUUUUACAAAUUGAGUUGAGAUUCAAGUUUCCCAAGUCAAAGGCUUCAAGAACCCUCUCUCAAAGAGUAAGAAUAAAAGUCUCAAGCAAGUUUGUUCAUCUAAGUCACAAUUUAAGGUAUGUGGGGUUUGAACAAGGACACUUCUUUCGUCCUUGUGCCCAAAAGUUGUUUUAAUUACAAGAAUAUAUGAUUUUUCAUGUCUUAUUUUGAAAUUGAAGUAUGAGUUUGUACCCCAUGUUAUUAUUCCUUGAGAUUUUAAUAGUUCCAAUGUUCUAGAAAUUGAAGUACAUGAGCAUGUUGACAUUUUAAGAUAAAUUGCUGAAAAUUCCAGAUUUCUAUACAAUUUAUAAAUCCAUAUGAUAUCUAGUAUGCAUUUUGAUGAGUCUUAACUAGAGAUUGAAUUAUGGGUCAUUAAACCCUACUUAAGAUUUCAGUUGUUAUGAAGUUUUGUGCUAUAAGCACCCAUGAUUUGAGUAUUUUGAGAUCAUUGAGAAGGUUUUGACCUUAAUGGUCAUAGUAGCUUUGAAAUCCACUUUACUAAAUGAGAUUUCAGAUUUUAUAGUUGGGUUAUUCAUGAACCAUGAGAUUAUUUUAAAGUGGAUUUCCAUGAGAUGAGCGUAGCUAACUAAUGGGGAUAGUAUUUAGCACCGAGUUGGGUAAGUUACUACGGUUUCAUACCCCAAAACUACAUGCCACUGUAGGAUUGAGAUUUAUGGGCCCGAGGCCGAGAUAAGUGAUCAUUGUGUUGAGGUUAUACUCCCUGGCAAGAGUAUGAUGCCUCUCCCAACGUGAGGUUUCUUCCUUAGGAGGAAAAGGCGUUGGACUCCAUGUAGCUCGCAUGGUUUAUAUCAGUUAAGAGAACCUCCUUGCUAGUAAACAGUAAAUAAACUGAUUUUAUGUAUUUUUCCCUAAUAGUAAGAUUUUUCAGAAUAGUUUCUUAAAUAAAAUUUUCCCAAGAAGAAGGUAGCUUUCUCUACUAGUAAGAGUAAAUAAUUAGUUUUUAAACCAAAGUUAUAUAAUCCUGAGUUCUAAGUGUCCCGAGUCUAAAAGAGUUCUGAGUUCUUGAGUUUUAAAGAAGUUUUACUCUCCAUGAUAUAAGAAUAUGAGUUUGACAGUAUUGUCUAAAGCUUUCUUUAGUCUUUGAGUAUUGAGAAUAACAGGAGAGUAUAGAUUUUAAAGCUAAAGUAUAUUGACUCACGAGAUUUGUGUUACAUGCUUCAUUAACCAUGAUUUAUGAGCUUUACAUUUUAGACUUAUUCAAGCUAUGUGAGUCAUUCCUAACUGCAUACGUGAUUUGAUUAAAGAGUAUUGAUAUUGUUUUAUGUAAAUGAAUACACCCCCAUAUACUCAGUAUAUUCCUAAGUGCUGAUCCACAUAUAUGUCUAUGUACUACAUUGUCUUAUAAUGUAGGUUCAGGUACUCAGUUCUAGCCUCGUCAGUGAUUCCCGAGUACCUUUGUCUACAUCUCCACAGUGGUGAGUCCUUAUGGUUAGAGGACCUAUCUUCAGACAUUUCAGUAUUUUAGUAGAUACGUUAUUGCUUUCAGUUUAGUUUGAGUCAAUUGGGGACCUGUCCCAAUAGCUCUCUAGUUCAUGGAGUAGUAGAGGCUUUGAGAUUUCUAGUAUUGUGGUGGUCUGGACAGAGUAUUUUCUUCAUAUUUCCUGUUAUUUAAUAUGACAGUUCUAGUAUUUUGUUUAUUUUAUCUCGAAAUGAGUUAUUAUAUGUAGUAAUAGGCUCAAAGGAUUAGCUUGGGGCUGCUUAUAGCCUUAAGAAUCGUGUGAUAUCCCGGGAGGGGAUUUCAGGUCGUUACAAACUUGAUAUCAGAGCCUAAGAUUUUAGGAGUCCUAGGGAGUCUGACAAGCUGCAUUAAGUAGAGUCUUGAUCAUCGGUAUGUAGCGCAUCAUAUCUAUGAGCAAGAGGCUACAAGACAUUUUAGAAAAAAGAUGUUUCUUUCUUUCAGAUUCUAUCGUGCCCACAUUUUCCUUCCCAUCUAAUAAUUUAUGCUCUUAUAUUUCAGAAAAUGCCUCCUAGAAGAGUGAAUGCCCGUAGAAAUGAUAAUGAGCAGCCCCAGCCCGUCAAUCCCUUGAAUGAGACUGUCUCAUGCUGAGUUUCGGGCGGCCUUUCAGGUGUUAGCCCAAGCAGUCACCACUAAUGUUUAGGCCAAUAACCAGGCCAUAAUUCCAAAUCAACAGGAAGGUGAUUUAGCUGCUGCUAAGAUUCAUGAUUUCAUGCAGAUGAAUCCGCCAGAGUUUUAUGGAUCUAAGGCAGGUGAGGACCUACAGUUAUACCUUGAGGUGGUAAGGAAGAUCACAUACGUAAUGCAUAUUUCUGAGGAAAAAAGUGUUGAGCUGGCGUCUUACAGGUUGAAAGACAUUGCUUAUGACUGGGUUGUAGUAUGUAAGAAGGGUAGAGGAGAGGGUAUUGCUCCUAUGACUUGGCAGGUGUUCUAAGAUGUAUUCUUACACAAGUUCUUUCUUCUUGAGAUGAGGGAAGCAAAGAUUAAAGAGUUUAUGAACUUAAGGUAGGGCUCCAUGACUGUUAAAGAGUACUGCUUAAAGUUCAACCAUUUAGCCAAGUAUGCUCCUGAUUUAAUUGCUGACACCCGAGCUAAUAUGAGCAAGUUCAUGACAGGUGUUUCUGGUUUGGUGAUAAAAGAGUGUAUGACUACAAUGUUGAAUAGGGCUAUGGAUCUGUCUAGAUUGAUGAUAUAUGCACAGUAGAUAGAGGUGGAUAAGAUAAGGGAGAGAGAUAAAGUGAGGGGUAAUAAGUGGACUAGAUCUGAGCAAUAUGAGUAUAGUCAGGCUAGGUCCUAUGGAGAGAAUCGCCUAUAGUUCCAGAGUCGUUCUUCUAUGCCAGCACCUUCAUCAACUAGCUUCAUCAACUAGUGCUCCCGCUCCUAGAGAUAGGUAGGAGUAAGGGAACAUGUUUUCUAUGUCUAGGUCGCAGAAUAGUGUAAGUAACAGACCCCACUAUCCUCUUUGUGCUAAGUGUAGUGAGGAUUAUCCCGAUGAGUACUUGGCAAAUCAGAGGGGUUGUUUUGGUUGUGGCAAGCUGGGCCAUAGACUUAGAGAUUGUCCGCAUGCUAGGCAGGGGAACAAAGAUGCCCGACCUCAGGCACAGACUACUAGUGCACUAUCUCCAAUAGCCCGUCCCGCCCCUACUAAGGGAACUUCUUCUAGCACUACUGGCGGUCAGUGCCAGAACAUAUUCUAUGCCUUACCAUCCCAUCAGGAGCAGGAGGACUCUCCUGAUGUUGUUACUGGUAUGCUCUGCAUCUUUUUCUUUGAUGUUUAUGUGUUGUUAGACCCUGGGUUAAGCUUUUCUUAUGUGACCCCACUUGUAGCUGUUAAUUUCAAAAUGAGUCCCAAAAAGAUUCCUGAGCCUUUCCUAGUUUCUACUCCAGUAGGGGAGUCAGUUGUUGCUAAGCAAGUGUACAGAAAUUCUCCUAUUACUAUUCAUCAUAGAGUCAUAUUUUCUGAUUUGGUUAGACAUGAAGGAUUUCAACCUUAUUCUGGGUAUGGAUUAGCUUCAUUCUUGUUAUGCGUCCAUAGAUUGUCGUACUCGUGUGGUCAAGUUUCAGUUCCCUGAUGAAUCAGUUUUUGAGUGGUCCAGGAGUUCAGUAUCUCCAAGAGUCAUUUUAUCUCCCAUCUCAAAGUCAAAAAGCUAAUAUCCAAAGGUUGCAUCUAUCACCUAUUUAGAGUUAAAGACACUAAGUCUGAGGCUCCAACUAUUCAGUUAGUCAACAUUGUUAAUAAGUUUCCUGAUUUUUUUCCAGAAGAUCUCCCAGGGGUACCUCCGAAUAGAGAGAUAGAAUUUGGGAUUGACCUUCUUCCCGACACUUAACCUUUUUCUAUUCCGCCAUACUGCAUGGCACCUGUAGAGCUUAAGGAGUUGAAAGAGAAACUCAAAGAUCUUUUAGAUAAAAGUUUCAUAAGGCCUAGUGUCUCUCAUUAGGGCGUACCUGUUCUAUUCAUGCGAAAGAAAAAUGGUUCUUUGCGUAUGUGCAUUGACUAUUGUCAUCUUAAUAAGGUCACAGUAAAAAAUAAGUAUCCUUUUCCGAGAAUUGAUGACCUUUUUGAUCAGUUGCAAGUGUGCAAGUUAUUUCUCCAAGAUACACCUUAGAUUCGGCUAUCAUCUACUUAAAGUGAGGGAAUGUGAUAUUCCAAAGACAGCCUUCCAAACCCGUUAUGGUCACUUUGAGUUUCUAGUCAUGUCUUUCGGGCUAACCAAUGCUCCAGCAGCCUUAAUGGACCUCAUGAAUCGAGUGUUCAAGGAAUAUCUUGAUAUGUUUAUCAAUAUUUUCAUAGAUGGUAUCCUUGUGUACUCCCGUACUGAGAAUGACCAUGUAGAUCACCUUAGGAUUGUCUUGCAAACUCUUAGAGAUCACCAGUUAUUCGCCAAAUUCAACAAGUGUAAAUUUUGGUUAAGAUAGCUUUUUUGGGUCAUAUUACUUCAGCCGAAGGCAUUAGAGUUGAUCCCCAAAAGACAGAAGCUGUAAGAAAUUAGCCUAGACUUGUCUCUCCGUCUGACAUUAGGAGUUUCUUGGGUUUAGAAGGCUACUACCACUAUUUUGUUGAAGGUUUCUCUUCUAUUGCAUUCCCCAUGACCGAGUUGACCCAAAAGAAAGUUAAGUUCCAGUGGUCAGAUUCUUAUAAGAAGAGUUUUUAAGAGUUAAAGACUCCACUUACUUUAGCCCCUGUGUUGACUUUGCCUGAUGGUACAGAUGACUUUGUGGUGUAUUGUGAUGCCUCUAGAGUUGGUUUGGGUUGUGUGUUAAUCCAAAGAGGUAAGGUUAUAGCCUAUGCCUCUAGACAGUGUAAGCCGCAUUAAAAGAACUACCCAACCCAUGAUCUUGAAUUAGCUUUUGUAGUCUUUUCUUUGAAAAUAUGGAGACACUAUUUGUAUGGUGUUCAUGUUGAUGUGUUUACUGAACAUAAGAGCCUGCAGUAUAUGUUUACUCAGAGGGAGUUGAAUUUUAGGUAGAUGAGGUGGUUAGAGCUGUUAAAAGACUAUGAUAUUAGUGUGUUAUAUCACCCGAGAAAGGCCAAUGUAGUGGUAGAUGCCCUUAGCAUAUUGUCUAUGGGCAUCGUUAUUCAUAUAGAGGAAGGUAAGAAAGAGUUGGCUCAUGAUGUGUAUCAUUUGGCUAGACUGGGUGUUAGUUUGAUUGAUUCAGCUGAGGGGAGUAUACUGGUGCAGAGUAUUUCUGAAUCCUCUUUAGUUUUGGAAGUGAAGGAGAAACAAGACAGGGAUCCUAGUUUGGUCAGACUGAAGGAGUUAGUUAAGGGCCAAAAGGUAGAGAUUUUCUCCUAAGGGGGAGAUGACGUGUUGAGAUUGUAGGGUAGAUUGUAUGUUCCGUGUGUGGAUGGUCUAAGGUAGAGAGUUAUGGCUAAACCACAUGAAGCGUGGUAUUUUAUUCAUCUCGGCACUACCAAGAUGUACCACAACUUGCGGGAAAUAUAUUGGUGGAGUGGUAUGAAGAAGGAUAUAGCUGCGUUUGUAGAAAAGUGUGCAAUGUGCCAACAGGUUAAGGUGGAGCACCAAUGGUCUGGUAGUGUGAUACAAGAGUUUGGUAUACCCACUUGGAAGUGGGAAGAGGUGAUUAUGGACUUCGUGACUGGUUUACCUCUUUUGUAUCAUCAUCAUGAUUCUAUUUGGGUUGUUGUAGACAGGCUGACUAAUUCCAUACAUUUCUUACCCAUGUAUACAUCUUAUACAGCUAAGGAUUAUGCUAGAUUAUAUACUCGAGAGUUAGUCAGGCUCACGGAGUUCCCUUGUUUAUCAUUUCGGAUAAGGGUACUCAAUUUACUUCUCAGUUUUGGAGAGCAUUUUAGCAGGGUCUUGGUACCCAAGUUCAUUUAUGUUUUGCUUUUCAUCUACAGACAGAUGGUCAGACUGAGAGGACCAUUCAUACUCUAUAACAUAUGUUGAGGGUAUGUGCACUUGAUUUCAAAGGUAGUUGGGAUGAGCAUUUGCCAUUAAUAGAGUUUUCUUAUAACAAUAAUUACAAUGCUAGCAUCGAGAAGGCACCAUUUAAGGCUUUUUAUGGUAUAAGAUAUAGAUCAUCCAUAGGUUGGUUUGAAGUGGGUGAAGCUGGUGUGAUUGGUCCUGAUGCAAUGUUCGAGGUUAUGGAGAAACUUAAGUUGAUUAGAGAACGGUUGAAGAUAACUUAGGGUCGUCAAAAGUCAUAUGCUGAUGUGAGGAGAAGAGAUCUUGAGUUUGAGGUGGGUGAUUUGGUGUACUUAAAGAUUUCACCCAUGAAAGGGGACAAGAGGUUUGGUAAAAAAGAAAAGCUUAGCCCCCGUUACGUUGGCCCCUAUAGAGUCUUGAUCCAUGUUGGUAAAGUAGCCUAUGAAGUUCAGUUGCCCACAAAGUUGUCAGCCGUUCAUCCUAUUUUUCAUGUCUCCAUGCUUAAAAAGCAUAUUGGUGAUUCGGUUGUAGUGGAUCCUUCAGAGAGUGCUGAUAUUCAGAACAGUCUUUCAUUUAAUGAGAUUCCUAUUGAGAUUCUAGACUUUCAGAUCUGUAGAUCUAGGAACAAAGAGGUUCCCUUGUUCAAAGUUUUGUGGAGAAACCAGUCCGUUGAGGGCGCUACUUGGGAGGCAGAAGCAGACAUGUGAGCCAAGUACCCGCACCUCUUCUCCACAAGUUCAGAUCAAGCUGAAGGUAUUAUUCUUCCUUAAUUAAGCCCUUCUUAUCUAAAGUUCAUCUAUGUAUCUAUUCUUACAUGAGUUCUUGCAAUUUCUGAAGUAUUCAAGAGUUUAGAAAGAUUUUAAGCCCGUUUAGCAAAUUGCUUCAGCUAUGUGUACUCAGUUUUUCCUGUGUCCCUAGUAUAACUAGCAACAUUUAAGGACAAAUUUUUCCAAGGGGAAGAUAUUGUAAAACCUUACAAAGUUCCCUCAUAGUCUGAGCCUUAGAACGUGUUAAGUAAAGAGUGAUUCUGGCCCUAAGAGAUUAAGAAGUGACUUCCCAAGUGAUUAGUGUUUAAAUCUUGUUGAAUUUUCUGAAAAAUGACUUUCUAUCGUGUGGGAAAUUGAAUUAUCUUUCCAACGAUACCCAUUUUGUCAAAAUAUGACGUCGGAGUGAGAAGAUAUGGCCAAAUUAUAGAAGGCAAUUUGAACCGCCCAGGUGCGACGGAAGGGGUCGACGGACUAUUGGACAAGCGAUGGACCGUCGCCCUGACCUUCAUAACAAGGAAGAAUACCGACUCACUGCUAAGUUCGACGGAGAGUGCCAACUCAACAUUGGACAAUCGACAGAACGUCACACCCUACCAUCGCAGUCGAGGCAGAAAGUAAGAUUUUGGCCCAGAUGCGACGGUCAGGACCGACGAACCAUCGCACCCCACCAUUGCACAUCCCAAUCAGUAAUUUUAAAUUAUUUCAAAAAGGUAUUUGUGGUCUUUUCCCACCCAUUUAACAACUGUUAUAUCCUAAACGAAGCAGAUAACUUCAUUAUCUCCCAA
rnacentral:lncRNA from 1 species